rnacentral:rRNA from 1 species
UACGUAGGUGGCAAGCGUUGUCCGGAUUUACUGGGCGUAAAGAGCGCGCAGGCGGUCGUUCAAGUCGCGUGUGAAAGCCCCCGGCUCAACUGGGGAGGGUCACGCGAUACUGAUCGACUCGAAGGCAGGAGAGGGAAGUGGAAUUCCCGGUGUAGUGGUGAAAUGCGUAGAUAUCGGGAGGAACACCAGUGGCGAAGGCGGCUUUCUGGUCUGUAACUGACGCUGAGGCGCGAAAGCGUGGGGAGCGAACAGG